GUAGAAAUCCAAGACACGUGAGAUCUCACAAAGUCGCAGUUGAUUGUGAACGAUUUACGUGGGGAAAAUUAAAGGAUUCUUUUUGCGAUCUCUUGUCACCAGUGGAUCAACAUGUAAAUGAAAACUGAUGCUAAUCUUGGGAUACAGUCUUGAAUCGUUGAAUCACCAAACACUUGGCGAUCCUUCUUGUCCAAUGAGAUGGUGGCAUGUCACUAUAUUUAUAUCGUGUCGUCAUAGCGACCGGUUGCUGAAGUCUUGUCGAAGGCAAUAGCUUUACCGAAUGAAUGCUCUCAUAAACGCAAACUGAUUUCUGGAAACCGAAUUAGAUUUUGAAGCACAAUCGAACCAGGACAGAUCUACUACAACUCUGAAGCAAGCAUGCUUUAUUUUGUCUCAGCUUCUACUUUCUAUGAUGAAAUAAAUUAAUGAAAUAAAUAGCAAGGAUCGAUUUAUUACA